rnacentral:rRNA from 1 species
CAUGCAAGUCGAACGAGGAUAUAUCCUUCGGGAUAUAAGCCGAGUGGCGCAAGGGUGAGUAACGCAUAGAUUACCUGCCUCUAGGAUAAGGACAACUUUGUGAAAACGAAGCUAAUACUUAAUAAUACAAAAGAAAAUAAUUUUCUUUUGUCAAUGGGAGGGUAGCAAUACCUUUUGCCUAGAGAGGGGUUUAUGUCCUAUCAGCUUGUUGGUGGGGUAAUGGCCUACCAAGGCGAAGACGGGUAGCCGGUCUUAGAGGAUGGUCGGCCACACUGGGACUGAGACACUGCCCAGACUUCUACGGAAGGCUGCAGUCGAGAAUCUUUCGCAAUGCCCGAAAGGGUGACGAAGCGACGCCGCGUGAGUGAGGAAGGCCUUAGGGUUGUAAAGCUCUGUCAGGAGUUAAGAAAUAUAAGUGUGUUAAUACCACGUUUAUUUGACGAAGGCUCCAAAGGAAGCCACGGCUAACUCUGUGCCAGCAGCCGCGGUAAUACAGAGGUGGCAAGCGUUGUUCGGAAUUAUUGGGCGUAAAGAGCACGUAGGUGGGUUUGUAAGUCAGAUGUGAAAGCCUUCUGUUCAACGGAAGAAUUGCAUCUGAAACUGCAAGUCUUGAGUGUAGGAGGGGAGAAUGGAACUUCUGGUGGAGCGGUGAAAUGCGUAGAUAUCAGAAGGAACGCCGGCGGCGAAAGCGAUUCUCUGGCCUAUUACUGACGCUCAGUGUGCGAAAGCUAGGGGAGCAAACGGGAUUAGAUACCCCGGUAGUCCUAGCCGUAAACGAUGGGCACUAAGUAGAGGGAAUUACCGAUGUUCUCUCUGCCGUAGCUAACGCAUUAAGUGCCCCGCCUGGGGAGUACGGCCGCAAGGCUAAAACUCAAAAGAAUUGACGGGGGCUCGCACAAGCGGUGGAGCAUGUGGCUUAAUUCGAUGCAACGCGAAAAACCUUACCGGGGCUUGACAUGGUAGAAGUAGGAACCCGAAAGGGUAACGAACGGUAUCCAGUCCAUAGCUAUCACAGGUGUUGCAUGGCUGUCGUCAGCUCGUGUCGUGAGACGUUGGGUUAAGUCCCCUAACGAGCGAAACCCUUGUUUUUAGUUACCAGCGGGUUAUGCCGGGUACUCUAGAAAGACUGCCGUCGUCAAGACGGAGGAAGGUGGGGAUGACGUCAAGUCAUCAUGGCCCUUAUGCCCCGGGCUGCACACGUGCUACAAUGGUCGGUACAAACGGAAGCGAAGCCGAGAGGUGAAGCGAAUCCUAAAAAGCCGAUCUCAGUUCGGAUUGGAGGCUGAAAUUCGCCUCCAUGAAGUUGGAAUCGCUAGUAAUCGCGGAUCAGCAAUGCCGCGGUGAAUAUGUUCCCGAGCCUUGUACACACCGCCCGUCAAGCCACCCAAGCAGGAUGCACCCGAAAACAUUAUAUCUAACCAGGGCAACUUGGAGGAAAGUGUUGAAGGAGUGUUUUGUGAGGAGGACUAAGUCGUAACAAGGUAGUCGUAGGAGAACCUGCGGCUGGAUCACCUCCUUUCU